rnacentral:rRNA from 1 species
ACCUAACCGGUCCAACCUCCCACCCGUGUCUAUCGUACCUUGUUGCUUCGGCGGGCCCGCCAUUCGUGGCAGCCGGGGGGCAUCUCGCCCCCGGGCCCGCGCCCGCCGGAGACACCAACACUAACACUGUCUGAAGGUUGCACUCUGAGUCCAUUUAUUUAAUCGUUAAAACUUUCAACAACGGAUCUCUUGGUUCCGGCAUCGAUGAAGAACGCAGCGAAAUGCGAUAAUUAAUGUGAAUUGCAGAAUUCAGUGAAUCAUCGAGUCUUUGAACGCACAUUGCGCCCCCUGGUAUUCCGGGGGGCAUGCCUGUCCGAGCGUCAUUGCUGCCCUCAAGCACGGCUUGUGUGUUGGGUCGCCGUCCCCUUCCCGGGGGACGGGCCCGAAAGGCAGCGGCGGCACCGCGUCCGGUCCUCGAGCGUAUGGGGCUUUGUCACCCGCUCUGUAGGCCCGGCCGGCGCCUGCCGACCACCAACCUUUUUUUAACCAGGUUGACCUCGGAUCAGGUAGGGAUACCCGCUGAACUUAAGCAUAUCAA